rnacentral:rRNA from 1 species
GACGAACGCUGGCGGCGUGCCUAACACAUGCAAGUCGAACGGGACCGGGGGCAACUCCGGUUCAGUGGCGAACGGGUGCGUAACACGUGAGGAACUUGUCUUUCGGCGGGGAUAGCCGGCCCAACGGCCGGGUAAUACCGCGUACGCUCUUCGGGGGCAUCUCCUGGAGAGGAAAGCAGCAAUGCACCGAAAGAGAGUCUCGCGGCCUAUCAGCUAGUUGGUGAGGUCAUGGCUCACCAAGGCGACGACGGGUAGCUGGUCUGAGAGGAUGGCCAGCCACAUUGGGACUGAGACACGGCCCAGACUCCUACGGGAGGCAGCAGUGGGGAAUCUUGCGCAAUGGGCGAAAGCCUGACGCAGCGACGCCGCGUGUGGGAUGACGGCCUUCGGGUUGUAAACCACUGUCGGGAGGGACGAAGCUCUGACGGUACCUCCAAAGGAAGCACCGGCUAACUCUGUGC